rnacentral:rRNA from 1 species
AGUGGCGGACGGGUGAGUAACGCGUGGGUAACCUGCCUCAUACAGGGGGAUAACAGUUAGAAAUGACUGCUAAUACCGCAUAAGACCACAGCACCGCAUGGUGCAGGGGUAAAAACUCCGGUGGUAUGAGAUGGACCCGCGUCUGAUUAGGUAGUUGGUGGGGUAACGGCCUACCAAGCCGACGAUCAGUAGCCGACCUGAGAGGGUGACCGGCCACAUUGGGACUGAGACACGGCCCGA